rnacentral:rRNA from 1 species
ACCCGCUGAACUUAAGCAUAUCAAUAGGCGGAGGAAAAGAAAACAACAGUGAUUCCCUUAGUAACUGCGAGUGAAACGGGAGAAGCACACCCAGAUACCUUAGGCUUGCUUAAGGAGAUGAUGGAGAAUCCUUAAUAUACUUUUGGCCACAAUAGAAGUUUUUUGGAAGAUUACGCUAUAAAAGGUGACAGCCCUGUAUAUUGUGGACCAAAUCUUAACUGGGGGUUUAGACGAGUCGGGCUACUUGGGAGUGUAGCCUUAAUGGGAGGUAAAUUCCUUCUAAUGCUAAAUAUUGAUGACAGACCGAUAGCAAACAAGUACCGUGAGGGAAAGAUGAAAAGAACGCUGAAAAGAGAGUUAAAAGUACCUGAAACCGCCUAAACAGAAGGAUUUCACAUCGCAAGAUUUCAAACAACUCCCUGAUGGCAAGAUACUAAGUAACUUUGAUGCACCUUGCAAAAGGGCUAAGAGUAACUAGGUAUUUUGUGUAUCAGUUCUAGUUGUUGAUAUCAUACCUUUCCUUUUUCCUUCAUAAUAGUCUCUUUUGAAAGGAUAGGUGGGCAACCACAAGGAUUUGGAAGAGUCAAUU